rnacentral:rRNA from 1 species
CGGCGUACGGGUGAGUAACACGUGGGUAACCUGCCCUCGAGUCCGGGACACCCCCUCGAAAGGGGGGCUAAUACUGGAUACGUUCCUCGGGUCGCAAGAUCUGGGGAGGAAAGGUAGCUCGCAAGGGCUGCCGCUCGUGGAGGGGCUCGCGGCCUAUCAGCUAGUUGGUGGGGUAACGGCCUACCAAGGCGAUGACGGGUAGCUGGUCUGAGAGGACGACCAGCCACACGGGGACUGAGACACGGCCCCGACUCCUACGGGAGGCAGCAGUGGGGAAUCUUCCGCAAUGGGCGAAAGCCUGACGGAGUGACGCCGCGUGGGGGAAGAAGGCCUUCGGGUCGUAAACCCCUGUCAGAGGGAAAGAUGGGUGUCGGCGUGCACAGCGCCGGCAUCUGACGGUACCCUCAGAGGAAGCCCCGGCCAACUCUGUGCCAGCAGCCGCGGUAAGACAGAGGGGGCAAGCGUUGCUCGGAAUUACUGGGCGUAAAGGGCGUGUAGGCGGAGCGGCAAGUCGGUCGUGAAAGCCUCCGGCUCAACCGGAGAACGUCGAUCGAUACUGCCGCCCUUGAGGGUAGCAGAGGAGACUGGAAUUCCCGGUGUAGCGGUGAAAUGUGUAGAGAUCGGGAGGAACACCGGUGGCGAAGGCGGGUCUCUGGGCUACUCCUGACGCUGAGGCGCGAAAGCGUGGGGAGCAAACGGGAUUAGAUACCCCGGUAGUCCACGCUGUAAACGAUGGGCACUAGGGGGGGGGGGGGGGGGUAUAACACCUCUCUCCGGUGCCCGCACCUAACGGCAUUUAAGUUGCCCCGCCUGGGGGGAGUACGGGCCGCAAGGGUUGAAACUCAAGGGAAUUUGACGGGGGCCCGCACAGCGGUUGGAGAUUUUUGUGGUUCAAUUCG